UCUAAAUUUGCCUCUAGAUCCAAAGAAUGGAAUCCAGAGUUUCUUCUUCAUUUCUCAAUGGUUAUCUUUUAUGGAAGAAGAGAAGCUCCAUUUUAUUUCCAAAUCACAUUUCUAGAUCUGAGCAGAGUAAGUGAGACUCAAUGUUGUAUUUGUUCUAUAUGGAAUUCAUAAUAAAAGAGUUGGUUGUUGAUUCUUCAGGUUUUGCCUUUCUGAUGAUACAAUUUAAUGUGACUGAUUUAUCUUGUAACUAAAGAAGUACCAAUUUUAAUCAUGUGAAUUUUUAAUAAUCGAAAAGAAAUCAUGGGUUGUGUAUGAAUGCUGAGAAAAUAUUUUUCUUUUUCAAAUCAUCUGAAGACCCCCAUUUCAUGAUACAACAAUGUAAUCUCAUGUAUAGAUGCAAGAUUGUUCCAUUAGUUUUAAUUUUGAUAUAUUUCUCUAGGUCAUAUUUUCUACUUCACUUCUAAUUAACAAAUAGCAUGUAACAACGAC
rnacentral:lncRNA from 1 species